rnacentral:misc_RNA from 1 species
AUAUAAGAGUAGCUCUACAUAACCAAAGCUCUACAAAACACAUAAAAAUGGCAGAAAACAGCAAAAAAUUGCAUAUUGCAGUAUUUCCAUGGCUAGCUUUUGGCCAUAUGAUUCCGUAUUUGGAGCUAUCAAAGCUCAUAGCUCAAAAGGGUCAUAAAAUUUCAUUUAUUUCUACUCCAAGAAACAUUGAUCGUCUCCCAAAACUUCCGCCAAGUCUCGCCCCUUUUUUAAAUUUCGUCAAAAUCCCCCUUCCCUACGUCGAAAAAUUACCAAAAAAUGCAGAAGCCACUACUGAUUUACCUUAUGAGCAAGUCAAGUAUCUCAAACUUGCUCAUGAUGCACUCAAAGAACCCAUGGCUAAGUUUCUCGAAGAUUCAGAUCUUGAUUUUAUACUAUUCGAUUUUACUUCUUACUGGGUUCCUUCAAUUGCUUCAAAAUUCAACAUUCGGUCAGGUCAUUUCAGCAUAUACAUCGCUGCGUUUCUGGGUUUCACCGGACCUGUACCGGGAUUAAACAAUGAUUAUGAAAUUCGUACAACGCCGGAGGAAUAUACCGUUCCCCCAAAAUGGGUUCCGUUUGAAACUACAGUUGCUUUCAAGCUUUUCGAAGUCUUGAGAAUCUUCGAAGCUACCAUGAAGGGAGAGGAAGAGAACAUUGCUGAUAUUACUCGUUACUAUAAAUCAGUUGAAAAUUGUGAUUUUUUGUUUGUGAGGAGCUGUUCGGAAUUAGAACCAGAAUGGUUGAAAGUUCUCGGAGAUAUUCACCGGAAACCGGUUUUGCCGGUGGGUCAACUUCCGACAACACCGUACGAAGAUGACAGCACGAAGAUCGAUGCGUGGAUAGAGAUAAAACUAUGGCUUGAUAAGCGAGAAAAGGGGAAAGUGAUUUAUGUUGCAUUUGGUAGUGAGGCAAAAUCGAGUCAAAAUGAGCUCAUUGAGUUAUCACUUGGAUUAGAGCUUUCUGGGUUAUCAUUUCUCUGGGUUUUAAGAACUAAAAGAGGAGAAUCUGAUAAUGAAUUGAUUCAAGUACCAGAAGGUUUCGAAGAACGAACGAAGGAAAGAGGAAUAGUGUACACGAGUUGGGUGCCACAACUUAAAAUACUGAGUCAUGAUUCGGUGGGUGGUUUUUUGACUCAUGCCGG